UACAAGUCCUCCUCAGACUAGGAUCAUGUG
rnacentral:piRNA from 1 species